rnacentral:lncRNA from 1 species
CCCACCAAAGAAUAAUAGCCCAAACACAAUCAACAAGGACAUAUAUUACCUUCGCAUCUAGCAAUUGGGUUCUUUUAAAGUUACAACCAUAUUGGAAGGUGAGAGUGGCUCAUCAUGUCUCUCACAAACAUGCAACAUGGUAUUUUCGGCCUUACUGUGUAACUCGCUGAAUAGACACGAUUGCCUAUGAACUAACUAUGCCUACCACAUCUCUGAUACAUCUUGGUUUUCACGUAUCAUUUUUGUGUCGGUUCUAUGAUGACCCCAAAGCUUAGUUCAUCCAUCUUCCAACAGUCAUGGAACCACUAGAAGGCAUCUCACCUUUAUAGAAACUCGUUUUUUGGAAAGGGAAGAUGAGCAACUCAACACUCUACUUAAAUCCAGCAAUAAUAUUGUUGCCUAUUCCUAAAAAAUUAGACUCGGCACACUCAGACAACUGAAUUACAUCAACAAAUAGCCCCAUAAUCGUUGAUCGCACACAUGGUUCAAAGACGAUCUCCAUCUGGAUCAUCAACACCUGCGUCGCCUACCCCCAAUCUGGCACGCGUCUUGUAGCACCUCUGCCUAUGAUCAUUUGUGUCGGUAGACUACAUUUCCUCGAUUCCAACUAUGGCAUAAUCAAGACCAGUCAUUCAAAUUUUCCACAAACUGCCUAAAGCAAUCUGAGUCGUUCAUAUAUUUUAUAUUCCAUCCAAUUCAGACAAGUUGGCAUGAACAACAACCUUCCACUAAUUCUUCACGUGGGACUGCACAAGUUAUACUUUCUCAUAUGCC